GAUCCUGCCAGUAGUCAUAUGCUUGUCUCAAAGAUUAAGCCAUGCAUGUCUCAGUACAAGCCAAAUUAAGGUGAAACCGCGAAAGGCUCAUUAAAUCAGUUAUGGUUCCUUAGAUCGUACCCACAUUUACUUGGAUAACUGUGGUAAUUCUAGAGCUAAUACAUGCAAACAGAGCUCCAACCGGAGACGGAAGGAGUGCUUUUAUUAGAUCAAAACCAAUCGGCGGCAGUAGCGUUUCGGCGUUAUUGUUCGUCGCACUGUUUGGUGAUUCUGAAUAACUUUUUGCUGAUCGCACGGUCUCGCACCGGCGACGCAUCUUUCAAAUGUCUGCCUUAUCAACUGUCGAUGGUAGGUUCUGCGCCUACCAUGGUUGUAACGGGUAACGGGGAAUCAGGGUUCGAUUCCGGAGAGGGAGCCUGAGAAACGGCUACCACAUCCAAGGAAGGCAGCAGGCGCGCAAAUUACCCACUCCCGGCACGGGGAGGUAGUGACGAAAAAUAACGAUACGGGACUCAUCCGAGGCCCCGUAAUCGGAAUGAGUACACUUUAAAUCCUUUAACGAUUAGCAAUUAGAGGGCAAGUCUGGUGCCAGCAGCCGCGGUAACUCCAGCUCUAAUAGCGUAUAU
rnacentral:rRNA from 1 species